GUAGGUGAACCUGCGGAAGGAUCAUUAUUGAAAUAAACCUGAUGGGUUGUUGCUGGCUCUCUAGGGAGCAUGUGCACACCUUGUCAUCUUUAUAUUUCCACCUGUGCACCUUUUGUAGACCCUCCCAGGUCUAUGUUUGCUUCAUUUACCCCUGAUGUAUGUUAAUAGAAUGUUGUGCCUAUAAAAUAUAUACAACUUUCAGCAACGGAUCUCUUGGCUCUC
rnacentral:misc_RNA from 1 species